AUUGAAACUGGGUUCUUGAAGCCACAGGCAUUAAAGUCUUUGGAAGAACCCCUAAGAUAGCUCCUAAGAUGUUACAAGGUGGGGAACGAAUGGGGCUCCAAGCCUGGUCCUUGUGCAUGGAAGUCUGGGAACUCCAGCGGGAUCCUCACAGCCCAGCAGCCAAGCACAGGUGCUCCAACUGAUCCUGCAGGCGACAGAAGGGAACUGGCCCAUGGCACAGACACAGGGGGACAAAGACAGAGCUCCAGGAUACUUCUGCCUCUGUGGACACCCCACCAGGCUAGGGAACCUGGCGCCUCAGCCUAACAAGUCCGGUGCUCUACCCAGUGAA